rnacentral:misc_RNA from 1 species
AAGCCAUUCAUCAAAUUCCCAGUAUUCAUCACGAAGAAGUUUAUUUAGUUGCAUAAAUAACAUUAUGAGCGAUUAUUUAGAAAAAUUGAGUGAAAACUAUAACGGGAAAAAGAGAUCAUAAGUACAUACAAAGCAGCUCAUCCGAUUCAAUCCUUUCAGCGAUGGAUCAAGAAGUCCGGCAAGGGCAUGUCUUAUUCUUCUUCAGCCACUCUACGAUGCAGUUGGAAUGGUACACAUGCAAGCAUGGCAACCGCCUAGCUUCUGACCCCAUCGACAUUUCAUCCAAGCAAACUGCACACACCAUUCCCGAUCCUUCCAUUGUCACCUCCCCCAGCUUUUCUAUGUAUUCAAUGCUUGCGCCCCGAGCCUCCACCUUUGAAGCAUCUUCAUGCCCAUUUGCUAACUCUACCAUGCUCAAAGCCUCGUUGUCGUCGCCCAUCAAAAAGAGUAAAGGGAUACGUGAAGCGGGGGAUGAUGACUCAUGGCCACUCUCUAUCUGCCUCAGCCUUGCCAUAAAACCUUGGAGUUCUUCGGCCGGAAAGCUUUCAAACUCUUGAUUAUCUCCAAAGAGUAAUGUAGACACGAACUCAGACAUGGUUGCGAAGAAAAGAAACCCAAAGAAGAAGAUGAGUAGCUAGCUAGAUGAGUGUGUUCAGAAAGAAGAAUAAAUGUAAAAGAAGAAGAUGAGUUUACACAGAAAGAAGAAGAUGAAUAUAUGUGAAAGAAGAAAUUAAGAACAAGUUUAAUUUGUUGUUUAGGGUAACCGACUUAUUGUUAGGGCUUCUCAAUCCUGACGAGGAAAGGAUUAAUAUUUAUUAAUACUUGCUAUCGAAGUAUUUAAGGAUUAAAAGAUAAACAUCAGUGCAGAAUUACUACAGUCAGUGGCUCUAAUAUGUUUCUGCUUGACUCAUGAAGGAUAAUAAAAAAGAAAGAAUAUUCUCAUCAUCACAUUUUGAUCAACAAAUCAUAUAAUUGUAUAUAAUGUAAUUAUAAUAUAUGCUGCUUUUUUCAACUUUUGAUCAUGUGAUGCUUGGAGAAAGAAUCCUGAUUAGUGCAUGCCUGAGCAAAAACAAACACUGUCAUAAACCAAGUUGGACUCCACAAUUCCAGCAGCAGGACCUGGACCUGAAAAUGGAAAUUCAAUCUGACUUGAAAGAAAGGCUUUUAAGAAGUGAUAAAAUUUGCCUUUCAUUUGAAUAUAUGUUGAUCAUAUUUUCCAGUUCGAUUUUAGAGUUGCACAAUGUAUUCUGCCCACGUUAGUGCUUGAGCAUAAAUAUAGAGUUUGACUUUUAACCAAAAUAGUAGAGAUUAAAGGCAAUGGAUGCAUGGUUACAAGCACAAAGAGAUCAAGAAAAACAAAGACACGAGAGAGAGUGAGUUUGGCACAAUUUUUUUUAUAAGCAUAAAUUUUAUUGAUAACAAUUAUCGAAGAAAAACUUAACAUAUAUCAUUAGCCUACUAUCAGGUCAUCAGACCUCCCCAAAACACCAACCUAGGACGAAACAUGCUAAGUAGGAAAACCUGAAGAGAUACACAAUACAAGAACAAUUACUGCACAAAAUUAAAAGAAGCAAAGGACUCAAGCACAUAUGACAUGCAAUACAGCAGCAGGACACACAGUAAUCAAACACACAAAGUCAAUAAUCUAAACCCAUUCGCACACAACCAAAACUAAGACCAAAACUCCUUACUUACAUAAUCUAAUUAAUGACGAAGCACACUUAUAAAUUACAUUAAUACAUGUCCACAAUUGCAACUGCAUUAAUUGAUAAGAGCACAAAAACAACAUGCAUGAAAAAUUAAAUCACACUCAAAUGUUACUACCAGCAAACGCAAUUUACACGGCGUCUUUGACGGCGCUUUGGGACAACAUCGAAGUAACCAAUGACAUAGAAAACCAACACUGUCGACAAAAAUCCAAAAGGAAAUCCAAUUCCGGCCAUAACCCACGAAAACCAUGUCUCUUGACUUCUACUUUCCUCCGGCUCUGGGAUCACCUUAUCACAUGGCACUUGAAUUUGCAUCCCACACAAUCCACUGUUAUUAGCAUAAGAAUUUGGAUUGUUCAUCGUGUCCAUUUGACGGCCACUUGGAAUGGAACCCGUGAGCUUGUUGUUGCUCAACUCCAGGGUGGUCAACUGCAAGAGCUUUCCAAAUGUCUGAGGAAUUUUUCCAGAAAGAUUAUUGUGUGACAAAUCUAGACUCUCUAGAUUAUUCAUAUCACCCAGAGUUGUUGGUAUUCCACCUGAGAGCUUGUUGUGAGACAUAUUCAGUACUUUUAAAUUUCUCAAACAACCUAAUGUAUCAGGAAUUCCGCCAGAUAAUUGGUUGUUUGAUAGAUCUAAAAAAGUAUACAGAUUAAGGUUUUUGCUGGGAAGAUCUUGCAUCUUGUUUUUCCAAGAUACUUCAAAGUUCGGAUAGUUAGCGGAGGAAAUUUGCCCACGCCGCUGGUAAACGCUUGCAGGAACUUCAUAAUAAUAAAGUAAUGAGGCAUCGAGAUUAGGAUUAAUCAUUCCACUAAGUUUCCCUAGGCUAGAUGGCACUUCUCCACUAAAGUUAUUGUCAGAGAGAUCAAGUAUUUGAAGACUUGUCAAAUCUGUUAGAUCGUUUGGAAUUGACCCAUGAAAUGAAUUAUUCCUAAGAUUCAAAAUUUGAAGAGAGGAGAUUUGAAAGAGGAACGCUGGGAGUUCACCUGUAAAAUUAUUGUCAUGGAGAUCGAGGCAAACAAGUUCACUUAAAUUUGUCAAGUUCCGAGGCAGGAUACCAGAAAACUCAUUAUGGCCCAGUAGAAGGACCGAUAAAGGAUUAAACUUCAGAGGAUAACAAGGAGCCAAUGCAUAGAGAGGAUCACAGCGUGGCGCCUUAAAAUUUGGGAACUCAUUACUUGAAAGUCUGUUCUUUGACAAGUCAAGUAUUGAUAGCAAUGACAUAUUUGAGAUGGAUUUGGGGAUUGGUCCAGAGAAAUCAUUGCCCGACAACAAAAGGGUUGUCAUAUGUGUAGCUUCACCUAUGUUAUCUGGCAAUUUGCCUGAAAAAUUAUUCCCUGAUAGGUCAAGACGCUGUAAAUAAGUUAGGGAAAAGAAAUGGAACGGAGAACCUGAAAGAUUGUUAUCAGAUAAAAUCAACUCAAAGUAUUUUGUAUGGUUUAGCCACAGAGGCAAGGUUCCUAGGAGAUUAUUCCCACUCAAGUCCAAGAAAGAGAGAUCAGUAAAGUUCGAAAGGAAAAAGGGCAUAUGCCCCGAAACACUGCAAGAUCUUAAAGAUAAAGCAGAUAGCUUGCUUUUUGGUACUAUAGUUGAGUUUUUCCACACAAGCUUGUUUCCCCCAAGUUUCAGAUCUGUCAAAUUUCUGAAAUCAAACAACCAGGCCGGAAUCUCGCCACUGAGCUGAUUAUCUUCCAAGUUAAGCGUCUUCAAUUGUCGCAUCUUUUGCAUUGAAGGAGGAAUCUCUUCAACCAAAUCGUUGUCAUUUAGGAGCAUAUACGAAAUUUCUGAAAGGUUACCGAUCUGAGCUGGAAUCUGCUUUGAGAAAAAAUUAGAAUGUAAAUCCAACUGUUGCAAUUCUUUCAAACGGCAUAGCGAUGAUGGAAUUGCUCCAGUAAUUCUGUUAUUAGCAAGAGACAACACUUGCAAAUUGGUGAGGUUUCCCAAUGGAAAAAACUUCGAACUUUUCGUCGCCUCAAUAAAAGUUCUAUCCAAAGAAAGUAUCUCCAGAUGCUUUAAAGAAAACAACUCAGGAGGAAUGGAGCCAUCGAACAUAUUAUCGGACAUUUUAAGUUCAACAAUUUCUGUUAAAUUGGCAAACCCAAUUGCUGAAAUUUCUCCUUGUAUGUUGUUACUUGAAAUGUCAAGUGUCUCGAGCGUUCGAACAUGAAAGAGCGGAGUUAAAACAUGAGACGACAAAACAAUUUCUUCCGAGUUAUGAAAGAUAUUGCUGAGAUCAAGAUCAGUCACCUGUUGUUGUGGAGUGUUGGAAUUGCAACCGACUUCUUCCCACUGACAACAGUCUGUAGAAGAGGAGUUCCAAGUCUCUAAGAAAGUGAGAUUCUGGUGUGCAGGAACGCUUUCCAGUAAUAAGAGUUUGAAUUGGAGAAGGGCUUCUUUCUGAUAUUGAGGACAGCAAAGUGACGGAAUGAGGAAGAUGAAUAACAAAGAAAAUGUUUGAAGAAAUGAAAGGAUCAUUUUGGCCAUUGGCGUUUCUAGUUUUCACUUCCCUGCUUCAAAACUUGUCGUAUCUUUUAUCUCAAUAGUUUUCUAUGCG